CAGCCGCCACGGUAAUACGGAGGGAGCUAGCGUUGUUCGGAAUUACUGGGCGUAAAGCGCGCGUAGGCGGUUAUUUAAGUCAGGGGUGAAAGCCCGGUGCUCAACACCGGAACAGCCCUUGAGACUGGAUAACUUGAAUCCAGGAGAGGUGAGUGGAAUUCCGAGUGUAGAGGUGAAAUUCGUAGAUAUUCGGAGGAACACCAGUGGCGAAGGCGGCUCACUGGUCCAUUACUGACGCUGAGGUGCGAAAGCGUGGGGAGCAAACAGGAUUAGAUACCCCUGUAGUCCCUGUCUCUUAUAC
rnacentral:rRNA from 1 species